AGCGAACGCUGGCGGCAGGCUUAACACAUGCAAGUCGAGCGCCUGUAGCAAUACAGGAGCGGCAGACGGGAGAGUAACACGUGGGAACGUACCCUUUGGUUCGGAACAACCCAGGGAAACUUGGACUAAUACCGGAUAAGCCCUAACGGGGAAAGAUUUAUCGCCAAAGGAUCGGCCCGCGUCUGAUUAGCUAGUUGGUGAGGUAACGGCUCACCAAGGCGACGAUCAGUAGCUGGUCGAGAGGACGAUCAGCCACACUGGGACUGAGACACGGCCCAGACUCCUACGGGAGGCAGCAGUAAGGAAUAUCCCCCAAU
rnacentral:rRNA from 1 species